rnacentral:rRNA from 1 species
UACGUAGGGUGCAAGCGUUAAUCGGAAUUACUGGGCGUAAAGCGUGCGCAGGCGGUUUUGUAAGUUUGUCGUUGAAAUCCCCGGGCUCAACCUGGGAAUGGCGAUGAAGACUGCAAGGCUAGAGUUUGGCAGAGGGGGGGUAGAAUUCCACGUGUAGCAGUGAAAUGCGUAGAUAUGUGGAGGAACACCGAUGGCGAAGGCAGCCCCCCUGGGUCAAAAACUGACGCUCAUGCACGAAAGCGUGGGGAGCAAACAGG